UCCCUGGUGGUCCAGUGGCUAAGACUCUGGGCUCCCAAAUUAGGGAUCUCCGGUUCGAUUCCUGGCCUGGGAA
rnacentral:tRNA from 1 species